GGUAAAAAAAUAAAUCAGAUAAAUGGAAAAAAAACAAAAUUACCUAGUGAUUGAUCCUUAUGUUAGAUAUUUAAGGAUCACUAGGGAUCAAGGUUGUGUCAACUCCUGAUUGGUUGAGGAGAUUUUUUUUUCUUUGCCUCGUUUGUGUCGCCUAUAUGCUCUCUCUCUCAGUUUUACGAUCCACCGCCAAAUUUUUGUUCACCGUCGUUCUUGUCUCCGCCUGAUUGCAUCUAGGUUGUUCUCAAGAGCUUUGUGAGAAUCUCUGCUUCAGCGACUCAAACACCCGAAAGAGUUUCACAAGGGUCGUUUCGUUGUGAGUGAUGAAGAUGCUUUGUUGAAUACUCAGUGCCCGAAGAAAUUGGAGCUGCGAUGGCAUAGUGAAGUCACUUCUAGCGUUUAUGCUACACCCUUGAUUGCUGAUAUUAACAGUGAUGGAAAGCUUGACAUUGUUUUUCUCUCUUCUCUCUCCGUCGGUUCACCAUUCUCUCUGUUUCUGGGAUGGGUGAUUUCUUCAAUGAGUCGAAUCUUCGAUUUGGAAUAUUGAAAAGAAGAUAGACUUCUGACUCUUCAAAUUUGAUUCAGACUUAGAACAACGUUGGUGUUGCUUUUGGAACUUCUUACUAUCAUCUUCACCCUAACCAUGCAACUCUCCUCUAGGAUCUUCUUCUUGUUUUUCGAUGACCUUAAAACAUAUGCUUUAGUACAGUUUGUUCAUUGCAUUGCCAUUCCCUUGAUGUUUAUUCUAUUACCUCCAAUGUAUACACAUUCUACGUAUUGGCUUUGGGCUGCAGGAUUUUAUCUCUUAGCCAAGGUGGAAGAAGCUGCUGAUAAGCCUAUAUAUAGUUGGGAAUUGCAGAUUCAUAUUCAAACCGUUCUCACCGUUUAACUUGGUUGGUUUCAUAUAUAAUCACAAUCGGUUAAUGUUUCUUUGUUAUGAAUGAAUUUAAGUGUUUCAGUUUUGUUUUUAUGUAUGAGUUUUAGUUUAAUUUAAACAUGUUUGACUGAUUUGUGUUUUACUUUGUAUCCUUUCAUGAGAUUUGGGGAGAAGAAGAAUAAGACAAAGUUCUUAAUCUAACUUUUUAGCAACU